UGCGUAGGUGGUUUCUUAAGUCAGAGGUGAAAGGCUACGGCUCAACCGUAGUAAGCCUUUGAAACUGGGAAACUUGAGUGCAGGAGAGGAGAGUGGAAUUCCUAGUGUAGCGGUGAAAUGCAUAGAUAUUAGGAGGAACACCAGUUGCGAAGGCGGCUCUCUGGACUGUAACUGACACUGAGGCACGAAAGCGUGGGGAGCAAACA
rnacentral:rRNA from 1 species